UGGUCCGCGAUGUAUAUAACGAUUGACUGCAACCUUCGGAGAAAUUGACAUAUUGUCAAAAUUUGACCCUGGGGAAGCAGAUAAUGACGGAGAUUUGAAAGGAUGUAUAGUAACAAGAGGAGCUGCUUGAGCUGUUAUAGACUCAAUGCUAGCUAAAUGUUGGAUUUCAGAUUGUAAAAGAGAAUUCGGAUCCGACUGCUUAGCUAACCGCGUUGCAAAAGAAGGAGGUGGUUGAUCAUACUGUUUGCCAUCUUCAAAAUCUUGAGAAUUGUUCGAAGCAGCAAGUUGAUGCUUGUCUGCAGAUAACAACUGGUUAGAGAGUAACGCAUCAGAAUCAUGAACCUCAAAAUGACAAUUUUUACGAUACUGAACAGAUAUGCGAAAAUCUCCAGCUGGUGUACCAACAGGGCUGAAAGAGAAAGUUGCAAUACUGCUUCCGAGCGAGGAUGAAAUUGGAGCACUUAUAGGAAGGAAAUCAUUCGAUAAAACAUCAUCCGUAGAGAGGGCACAGCCAACUUUUAAAGAUGUACCAUGAGCUCUUAAUUUGUGUAUUUUCGACUUCAAUUUCCACAGAGGCAUAAGAUGGGUAUAAGUGUAGAGGGAACGAAAUAAAACAACUAACUUUUUGUACAAAACAGCCAACUCCAGAGGGGUUGAUAAGGCUUCGCCAUCUAAAUUCACAAUCCAUCUUUCAAGUACGAUUUUCAUUGUCGACAUAUUAUUAAAGUUGAUUGCGUGAGAAUGAGUACCAUCGGAAACAGAAAGGGUUUGAUUUUUUGAUAAAUCA